UCGACAGUAGGCGCAAAUGUUUGAUUACACCAUGUAAAUAGAGAAGAUAAAGUAGAUAUUAAACAUCUAUAAGACUUCAACCGAAUUUGAUAAUCAAAGUAAGGUGGAUUGUGCGAAUGAACAUAGCUUCCAAUUGUUGACGAAUUAAGCUGAGGAAUAUCAUUCAAUGUAUGAUAUACAAACCCCGGUUUAUCAAUUACUAGCUGGUCAUCACGGAAAA